rnacentral:rRNA from 1 species
UACAGAGGUCUCAAGCGUUGUUCGGAUUCAUUGGGCGUAAAGGGUGCGCAGGUGGCUGGGUAAGUUUGAUGUGAAAGCCCCGGGCUUAACCCGGGAAUGGCAUUGAAUACUAUUCGGCUGGAGGAUUGGAGGGGGGACUGGAAUUCUUGGUGUAGCAGUGAAAUGCGUAGAUAUCAAGAGGAACACCAGUGGCGAAGGCGAGUUCCUGGACAAUUCCUGACACUGAGGCACGAAAGCCAAGGGAGCAAACAGG